GACCAUCCGCGCCAAUGUCAUCGGAUCCGUUUGAUCACACGAUUAAAGAUUUCACCACCGUUCUUAUUUUCCGUCUCUGUUUUUUUGCGUUUCACGAUCUUUACCAAAUCAUGGACCGACAGUCGGAGGUGGUGACGCAAACCAUGGAUGAUGCAUCAUAUGCGUCGUUAUGACGAGAUUCAGGUUUGUUGCUUCUAUUUUGAUCUCUUGGAACCUUGGAUUUAUAAUUUUAGCGCAACUU